CCCUUAGAUGUUCUGGGCCGCACGCGCGCUACAAUGAUGAAUUCAACGAGUUUAUAACCUUGGUUGAAAAGCCUGGGUAAUCUUUUGAACUUUCGUCGUGAUGGGGCUAGACCCUUGCAAUUAUUGGUCUCCAACGAGGAAUUCCUAGUAAACGCAAGUCAUCAGCUUGCAUUGAUUACGUCCCUGCCCUUUGUACACACCGCCCGUCGCACCUACCGAUUGAAUGGUCCGGUGAAAUCUUCGAAUUGAGACUUUGAUUUGUUUACUCAAAACGCUGUUUCAAGAAGUUGAUUAAACCUUACCAUUUAGAGGAAGGUGAAGUCGUAACA
rnacentral:rRNA from 1 species